AAAGAGCUCGUAGGUGGUUUGUCGCGUUGUUCGUGAAAACUCACAGCUUAACUGUGGGCGUGCGGGCGAUACGGGCAGACUUGAGUACUGCAGGGGAGACUGGAAUUCCUGGUGUAGCGGUGGAAUGCGCAGAUAUCAGGAGGAACACCGGUGGCGAAGGCGGGUCUCUGGGCAGUAACUGACGCUGAGGAGCGAAAGCGUGGGGAGCGAACAGGAUUAGAUACCCUGGUAGUCCACGCCGUAAACGGUGGGUACUAGGUGUGGGUUUCCUUCCUUGGGAUCCGUGCCGUAGCUAACGCAUUAAGUACCCCGCCUGGGGAGUACGGCCGCAAGGCUAAAACUCAAAGAAAUUGACGGGGGCCCGCACAAGCGGCGGAGCAUGUGGAUUAAUUCGAUGCAACGCGAAGAACCUUACCUGGGUUUGACAUGCACAGGACGCCAGUAGAGAUAUUGGUUCCCUUGUGGCCUGUGUGCAGGUGGUGCAUGGCUGUCGUCAGCUCGUGUCGUGAGAUGUUGGGUUAAGUCCCGCAACGAGCGCAACCCUUGUCCUAUGUUGCCAGCGGGUUAUGCCGGGGACUCGUAGGAGACUGCCGGGGUCAACUCGGAGGAAGGUGGGGAUGACGUCAAGUCAUCAUGCCCCUUAUGUCCAGGGCUUCACACAUGCUACAAUGGCCGGUACAAAGGGCUGCGAUGCCGUGAGGUGGAGCGAAUCCUUUCAAAGCCGGUCUCAGUUCGGAUCGGGGCCUGCAACUCGACCCCGUGAAGUCGGAGUCGCUAGUAAUCGCAGAUCA
rnacentral:rRNA from 1 species